rnacentral:rRNA from 1 species
ACCCCUGUGAACAUACCACUUGUUGCCUCGGCGGAUCAGCCCGCUCCCGGUAAAACGGGACGGCCCGCCAGAGGACCCCUAAACUCUGUUUCUAUAUGUAACUUCUGAGUAAAACCAUAAAUAAAUCAAAACUUUCAACAACGGAUCUCUUGGUUCUGGCAUCGAUGAAGAACGCAGCAAAAUGCGAUAAGUAAUGUGAAUUGCAGAAUUCAGUGAAUCAUCGAAUCUUUGAACGCACAUUGCGCCCGCCAGUAUUCUGGCGGGCAUGCCUGUUCGAGCGUCAUUUCAACCCUCAAGCACAGCUUGGUGUUGGGACUCGCGUUAAUUCGCGUUCCUCAAAUUGAUUGGCGGUCACGUCGAGCUUCCAUAGCGUAGUAGUAAAACCCUCGUUACUGGUAAUCGUCGCGGCCACGCCGUUAAACCCCAACUUCUGAAUGUUGACCUCGGAUCAGGUAGGAAUACCCGCUGAACUUAAGCAUAUCAAUA